rnacentral:misc_RNA from 1 species
UUUCCGUAGGUGAACCUGCGGAAGGAUCAUUAUUGAAUGAAACACUUCUGGCUUUAUGCUGUUGUGCUGGCCCUUUGGGCAAUGUGCACACGGCUCUGGUCACUUGUUUCUUCUGUUCCACCUGUGCACUGCCUGUAGACACGCUGUGUCUAUGAUAUUUGUUAACACACAACAAUGUUAGUUGGCAUGUUAUAUAUAAUAAUAAAAUAUACAACUUUCAACAACGGAUCUCUUGGCUCUCGCAUUGAUGAAGAACGCAGC